CGGCCUGAGGUCGGACGAGGCUACCCGCUGAAUUUAAGCAUAUUACUAAGCGGAGGAAAAGAAACUAACGAGGAUUCCCUCAGUAACGGCGAGUGAAGCGGGACGAGCCCAGCGCCGAAUCCGGCCGCUAUGGAGCGGACGGAAUUGUGGCGUAUGGAAUUCGCUUCGAGCGCGGACCGGCUGCCCACGUCCUUCUGAUCG
rnacentral:ncRNA from 1 species